ACUCAAAUGAAUUGACGGGGACCCGCACAAGCGGUGGAGCGUGUUGUUUAAUUCGAUGGUAAGCGAAGAACCUUACCCAGGUUUGACAUCCCGAGAAUUUCUCCGAAAGGAGAGAGUGCCGAAAGGAACUCGGUGACAGGUGUUGCAUGGCCGUCGUCAGCUCGUGUCGUGAGAUGUUUGGUUAAGUCCAUCAACGAGCGCAACCCUUAUAGUUAGUUGAAUUUCUCUAGCUAGACUGCCCUGGCAACAGGGAGGAAGGGGGGGAUGAUGUCAGGUCAGUAUUACCCUUACAUCUGGGGCUACAAACACGCUACAAUGGCCGGUACAAAGGGCAGCCAAGUCGCGAGACGGAGCAAAUCCCAUCAAAGCCGGUCUCAGUUCAGAUUGCAGGCUGAAACUCGCCUGCAUGAAGCCGGAAUCGCUAGUAAUGGUAGGUCAGCACACUACCGUGAAUACGUUCCCGGGUCUUGCACACACCGCCCGU
rnacentral:rRNA from 1 species